rnacentral:rRNA from 1 species
GGUUUAAUUCGAAGCAACGCGAAGAACCUUACCAGGUCUUGACAUCCCUGACAACCCGAGAGAUCGGGCGUUCCCCUUCGGGGGACAGGGUGACAGGUGGUGCAUGGUUGUCGUCAGCUCGUGUCGUGAGAUGUUGGGUUAAGUCCCGCAACGAGCGCAACCCUCGACCUUAGUUGCCAGCAUUCAGUUGGGCACUCUAAGGUGACUGCCGGCUAAAAGUCGGAGGAAGGUGGGGAUGACGUCAAAUCAUCAUGCCCCUUAUGACCUGGGCUACACACGUGCUACAAUGGGCGGUACAAAGGGUCGCGAACCCGCGAGGGGGAGCCAAUCCCAAAAAGCCGCUCUCAGUUCGGAUUGCAGGCUGCAACUCGCCUGCAUGAAGCCGGAAUCGCUAGUAAUCGCGGAUCAGCAUGCCGCGGUGAAUACGUUCCCGGGCCUU